rnacentral:rRNA from 1 species
GUCGAACGAAUUACCUUCGGGUAGUUACGUGGCGCACGGGUGCGUAACGCGUGGGAAUCUGCCCCUUGGUUCGGAAUAACAGUUGGAAACGACUGCUAAUACCGGAUGAUGACGUAAGUCCAAAGAUUUAUCGCCGAGGGAUGAGCCCGCGUAGGAUUAGGUAGUUGGUGUGGUAAAGGCGCACCAAGCCGACGAUCCUUAGCUGGUCUGAGAGGAUGAUCAGCCACACUGGGACUGAGACACGGCCCAGACUCCUACGG